rnacentral:rRNA from 1 species
UACAGAGGGUGCAAGCGUUAAUCGGAAUUACUGGGCGUAAAGCGCACGUAGGCGGUUUUUUAAGUCAGAUGUGAAAGCCCCGGGCUCAACCUGGGAAUUGCAUUUGAAACUGGGGAACUAGAGUGUGUGAGAGGGGGGUAGAAUUCCAAGUGUAGCGGUGAAAUGCGUAGGGAUUUGGAGGAAUACCAAGUGGCGAAAGGCGGCCCCCUGGCACAACACUGACGCUCAGGUGCGAAAAGCGUGGGGGAGCAAACAGG